UUUAAUCCUGUGAUGGUAGGGUAAAGUUCCCCAUUGGCUUGAAAACCAUUGGUGGUCAACAAGUCAACUUUCUUUUGUAUAUGAGCAUGUCACUGCUAGCAAUAAAAACCCUAGCAGACUUCUUAAAAAUAGAUAACGUGCGCCCGAAGUUAUGGAUUUCUAAACAAACAAUUGUGACUUUGAGUGAGGAAUAUCUCCC
rnacentral:lncRNA from 1 species